rnacentral:rRNA from 1 species
ACGUAGGGAGCGAGCGUUGUCCGGAUUUACUGGGUGUAAAGGGUGCGUAGGCGGCUUGGCAAGUCAGUAGUGAAAUCCAUGGGCUUAACCCAUGAACUGCUAUUGAAACUGUCGAGCUUGAGUGAAGUAGAGGUAGGCGGAAUUCCCGGUGUAGCGGUGAAAUGCGUAGAGAUCGGGAGGAACACCAGUGGCGAAGGCGGCCUACUGGGCUUUAACUGACGCUGAGGCACGAAAGCGUGGGUAGCAAA